GACGGAGGAUGCAAGCGUUAUCCGGAAUGAUUGGGCGUAAAGCGUCCGCAGGUGGCAGUUCAAGUCUGCUGUCAAAGACCGGGGCUUAACUUCGGAAAGGCAGUGGAAACUGAACAGCUAGAGUAUGGUAGGGGCAGAGGGAAUUCCUGGUGUAGCGGUGAAAUGCGUAGAUAUCGGGAAGAACACCCGUGGCGAAGGCGGUUCUCUGGGACGGUACUGACGCUGAGACGCGAAAGCGUGGGGAGCGAACAGG
rnacentral:rRNA from 1 species